GACGAACGCUGGCGGCGUGCUUAACACAUGCAAGUCGAACGGAAAGGCCCUGCUUGCCGGGUACUCGAGUGGCGAACGGGUGAGUAACACGUGGGUGAUCUGCCCUGCACUUCGGGAUAAGCCUGGGAAACUGGGUCUAAUACCGGAUAGGAGCCAUUUUUAGUGUGAUGGUUGGAAAGUUUUUUCGGUGUAGGAUGAGCUCGCGGCCUAUCAGCUUGUUGGUGGGGUAAUGGCCUACCAAGGCGGCGACGGGUAGCCGGCCUGAGAGGGUGGACGGCCACAUUGGGACUGAGAUACGGCCCAGACUCCUACGGGAGGCAGCAGUGGGGAAUAUUGCACAAUGGGCGCAAGCCUGAUGCAGCGACGCCGCGGGGGGGAUGACGGCCUUCGGGUUGUAAACUCCUUUCGCUAGGGACGAAGCUUUUUGUGACGGUACCUAGAUAAGAAGCACCGGCUAACUACGUG
rnacentral:rRNA from 1 species